CCAAUGAAAUCUUCAAGAAUUAGGAGGAGGAGCCAAGAUGACCGAAUAGGAACAGCUCCAGUCUACAGCUCCCAGCAUGAGUGACACAGAAGACGGGUGAUUUCUGCAUUUCCAUCUGAGAUAUUGGGGAAGGCUGAAAUGUGGCUCAUUCAACUGUACUGGGAUUUUGAAUUUCUUUGCCCACCCUUACCAAAUGUCGAUUUUGUGGGGGAACUCCACUGUAAACCAGCCAAAACCCUGCCUAAGUGGUGAACCAAGAUGGCUGAACAGGAACAGCUCUGGUCUGCAGCUCCCAGCAUGAUCAAUGCAGAAGAUGGGUGAUUUCUGCAUUUUCAACUGAGGUACCUGGUUCAUCUCACUGGAACUGGCUGGACAGUGGGUGCAGCCCACGGAAGGCAAGCUGAAGCUGGGCGGGGCAUCACCUCACCCCGGAAGUGCAAGGAGUUGGGGGAUUUCCCUUUCCUAGCCAGGGGAAGCUAUGACAGACUCUACCAGGAAAAUCAGGACACUCCCACCUUAAUACUGCACUUUUCCAAUGGUCUCAGCAAACAACACACCCAGGAGAUUACAUCCCAUGCCUGGCUCAGUGGGUCCCAUGCCCAUGGAGGCUCACUCACUGCUAGCACAGCAGUCCGAGAUCCAACUGCAAGGAGGCAGACUGGCUGGGGGAGGGGCAUUCGCCAUUGCUGAGGCUUGAGUAGGUAAACAAAGCAGCCAGGACGCUUGAACUGGGUGGAGCCCACCACAGCUCAAGGAGGCCUGCCUACCUCUGUAGACUCCACCUUUGGUGGCAGGGCAUAGCUGAACAAAAGGCAGCAGAAACUUCUGCAGACUUAAACAUCCCUGUCUGACAGCUCUGAAGAGAGCAGUGGUUCUCCCACCAUGGUGUUUGAGCUCUGAAAUGGACAGACUGCCUCCUCAAGUGGGUCUCUGACUCCUGGGUAGCCUAACUGGGAGACACUUCUGAGUAGGGGCCAACUGACACCUCAUGCAGCCAGGUGCCCCUCUGAGAUGAAGCUUCCAGAGGAAGGAUCAGGCAGCAAUGUUUGCUGUUCUACAAUACUUGCUGUUGAUCUUUUCAAAAAACCAGCUCCUGGAUUCAUUGAUUUUUUUGAAGGGUUUUUUUGUGUGUCUCUAUCUCCUUCAGUUCUGCUCUAAUCUUAGGUAUUGCUUUGCCUUCUGCUAGGUUUUGGGUCAUGAAAUCCUUGCCUAAGCCAACGUCUAGAAGGGUUUUCCCAGUGUUACCUUCUAGAGUUAGAGUUUCAGGUCUUAGGUUUAAGUCUUUAAUCCAUUUUGAGGUGAUUGUUUUAUAAGGUGAGAGAUAAGGAUCCAGUUUCAUUCUCCUACAUGUGGCUAGCCAAUUAUCCCAGUACCGGGUGUCCUUUCUCCACUUUAUGUUUCUGUUUACUUCACAAAGAUCAGUUGGCUG